rnacentral:miRNA from 1 species
UUAAAUAACCGAUUUUAAAAGUAAUACUUUUAAAAUUGGUCAUAAAAUAACCGAUCUUAAAAGUGUCACUUUUAAGAUCGGUUCUUUUG